GUGCUCACCUUGACAGCACGUAUACUAAAAAAUUGGAAUGGUAUGGAAGAGAUUAGCAUGGCCCCUGUGAAAACAAAUUCAUGAAGCAUUCCAUAUUUUU
ensembl:snRNA U6 U6 spliceosomal RNA